CUGAGGAAGUCUGACAGGCGCGGUGCAGCUCAAGCAAUUAGCCUCUGAGAUUAGAUUACUCUCAGCAAAAACAUAUGACAUGGGCGGUGUGUGGGAGGAUAAUUACUGAGCUGCACCUUGCCUGUCGUACCUCCUCGGCCUCUGAGUAUAGUUUAUAGUAUGGUCUGUACCAUGAUGUGCUCUGACACUAAGGAAUAUCCAUUGAAACUCUCAGGAUACUCCAGGGUACAAUCCCAUGUACCCUGCUAGGGUGCGUACAUAGGCUGUGGUCAUGCAGGAUCACAUUGUGAAGAUUAUUCUUCAGUAUCCAAUCAAAACUACCGGACCACAUUGGAACUGGGUUGUGUGAAGUUGUAGAUGUGGUUUGUUAAGUGCAAGCACACCCACACAAAAUGUGCACAUGCAUGCAUGGCAGGGAUCAAAGUGACAAAGAGUGUUUACUACUACUCAGUUGUAAAUGGGUUGGAUAACAGCAAUACUUGUUGCCCAGUGAGUGGGCAGAUCAAAGCAAUCCAGUGCUCAGUAUAUAUGGCAUGAUGCAUGCAUCACAACCCAUGGUACAACUAUUACUUGUACAGUUAUACGUUGUUAUACAUGCAGUAUGAUUUAUUUAUGUGCAUUUCAAGUGAGAGGAAAGUUUUAACAAUCCCUUUUCUUGAGAUCUCUGCGUAUACUACAGGAAGGCUAUGGCACUGUCCCAUGCUAAGCUGAGAUUUAGCUAUACAAGACGAUGCUCUGUUGGCUGUACUGUUUUAUGAGGAGUGCUUGGUGGGCUGUUUCAGUUACUCUGUGUUGAGCGUGAGCCCCUUCCCUCACCUGAUGGACUCCGGGGACAGUGGCUCCAUUUGGGGCAGAGUUUGCUGGUUUCAUGCGUGGACUACUGAAGAGAGUUGUGGAGUUAUGCAAGUGCUCUAACCCAACCGCUGCUCAGAGAAGAAUAAUUACGAGUUGUUCCCGUACCCAAGAGUGGUGAUCCAUCACUUGUCAACAACUACCGGCCAAUAUCAAUACUACCAGUUGUAAGCUAGACCCUGGAAAAACACGUGAAAGCACUACUGGAGGAGCACAUGAAAUUACAUUCACCAAUUUCCCCAAGGCAAUGGGGCUUUAUGUCAUCACGUUCAACUGUGUCAGCUCUCAUUCAAGUGAUUGAUGACUGGAGCAGGGCUGUCGACGGGGGAUAUGAGGUCUGUAUUGUAUUUUUUGAUGUCAAAAAAGCUUUUGACUCCGUCCCACAUGUUGCUCUUUUGAAGCACCUUCAGUAUAUGCACGUCAAUGAGUACAUUAUUAAGUGGAUGAAAAGUUAUCUACUGGACAGAGAGCAAUUUGUUGGAAUAGACGGAUGUUCUUAGCUAGUCUACCAGUCCUUUCUGGAGUUCCUCAAGGCUCGGUCUUAGGCCCCCUACUAUUCAUCUCUUAUAUCAACCUAUAGUAACAGAAGUUAUUUCACAGGACAGCAACCUCAACAUGUUUGCCGAUGAUAUGGCCCUGUAUAGAGUCAUCAAGUCUAAUAAUGACUACAUGCUACUUCAAAAUGAUGUAAAUGCUGUUUUCGACCUUCAUGAACUCUAGGCUACUUCAAUUCAAUGUGACAAAAUGCAAGUUUAUGUUCGUCUCCAAAAAGACCUCUCGCUCAUUGUUGCCUCCAGCUCUACACUUAAAUGGAACCUUGCUGCAACAAGUUCCAAAUUACAAAUAUCUGGGUCUCACAUUAUCUGAUGAUCUCUCCUGGCACCCUCAUAU